rnacentral:rRNA from 1 species
UACGUAGGUGGCAAGCGUUGUACGGAUUUACUGGGCGUAAAGGGAAGCGUAGGCGGAUUUUUAAGUGAGAUGUGAAAUAACCCGGGCUUAACUUGGUGCUGCAUUUCAAAACUGGAGGUCUAGGGUGCAGGAGAGGAGAAGGGAAUUCCUAGUGUAGCGGUAGAAAUGCGUAGAGAUUAGGAAGAACACCAGUGGCGAAGGCGCUUCUCUGGACUGUAACUGACGCUGAGGCUCGAAAAGCGUGGGGAGCAAACAGGAUUAGAUACCCGCGUAGUCCCUGA